AUUGAAAUGCCAUUAAAAAGCUUCUAACUUUUUGUUAAGCAUUAACCUGUUUGC
rnacentral:tRNA from 2 species